GCUGGGCAGGUGGGCACAUGCCUGUAAUCCCAGCUACUUGGGAGACUGAGGCAGAAGGAUGACAAGUUUGAGGCCAGCCUCAGCAACUUAGUGAGACCCUAUCUCCC
rnacentral:sRNA from 1 species